rnacentral:rRNA from 1 species
AUGGCGGCGGCGGUGAAGGUGUACGGGUGGGCGAUGUCGCCGUUCGUGGCGCGCCCAUUGCUGUGCCUGGAGGAGGCAGGCGUCGACUACGAGCUCGUCCCCAUGAGCCGCGAGGCCGGCGACCACCGCCAGCCGGACUUCCUCGCCAGGAACCCCUUCGGCCAGGUGCCGGUUCUCGAGGACGGCGACCUCACUCUCUUCGAAUCGCGGGCAAUCGCGAGGCACGUGCUUCGCAAGUACAAGCCGGAGUUGCUGGUAGGCGACGGCUCGCCGGAGUCGGCGUCCACGGUCGACAUGUGGCUGGAGGUGGAGGCCCACCAGCACCACCCCGUGUUGGUCGCCAUCACGAUGCAGUGCCUCGUCGCCCCGCUCCUCGGCAACGCGCCGGACCAGGCCGUCCUCGACGAGAACCUCGGGAAGCUGGGGAAGGUGCUGGAGGUGUACGAGGCACGGCUGUCGGCAUCCAAGUACCUCGCCGGGGAAUCGGUCAGCAUCGCCGACCUCAGCCACUUCCCGAUGAUGCGCUACUUCAUGGAGACCGAGUACGCGGCGCUGGUAGAGGAGAGCCCCCAUGUCAAGGCGUGGUGGGAGGAGCUCAAGGCGAGGCCGGCGGCCAGAAGGGUGACGGAGUUCAUGCCGCCUGACUUUGGGCUUGGAAAGAAGGCAGAGAAGUGA